UACGAAGGGGGCUAGCGUUGCUCGGAUUGACUGGGCGUAAAGGGCGCGUAGGCGGUUUGCACAGUCAGACGUGGAAUUCCUGGGCUCAACCUGGGGGCUGCGUUUGAUACGUGUAGACUUGAGUGCGGAAGAGGGUCGUGGAAUUCCCAGUGUAGAGGUGAAAUUCGUAGAUAUUGGGAAGAACACCGGUGGCGAAGGCGGCGACCUGGUCCGAUACUGACGCUGAGGCGCGAAAGCGUGGGGAGCAAACAGG
rnacentral:rRNA from 1 species